UACGAAGGGGGCUAGCGUUGCUCGGAAUCACUGGCGUAAAGGCGCGUAGGCGGCCAUUCAAGUCGGGGGUGAAAGCCUGUGGCUCAACCACAGAAUUGCCUUCGAUACUGUUUUGGCUUGAGUUUGGUAGAGGUUGGUGGAACUGCGAGUGUAGAGGUGAAAUUGAUAGAUAUUGCAAGAACACCAGUGGCGAAGGCGGCCAACUGGACCAACAC
rnacentral:rRNA from 1 species